GACGUAGGGGGCAAGCGUUGUCCGGAUUCAUUGGGCGUAAAGAGCGUGUAGGCGGCCAAGCAGGUCCGUUGUGAAAACUGGAGGCUUAACCUCCAGACGUCGACGGAAACCGCGUGGCUAGAGUCCGGAAGAGGAGAGUGGAAUUCCUGGUGUAGCGGUGAAAUGCGCAGAUAUCAGGAAGAACACCAAUGGCGAAGGCAGCUCUCUGGGACGGUACUGACGCUGAGACGCGAAAGCGUGGGGAGCGAACAGG
rnacentral:rRNA from 1 species